AGUGAACGCUGGCGGUAGGCCUAACACAUGCAAGUCGAACGGCAGCACAGUAAGAGCUUGCUCUUACGGGUGGCGAGUGGCGGACGGGUGAGGAAUACAUCGGAAUCUACUUUUUCGUGGGGGAUAACGUAGGGAAACUUACGCUAAUACCGCAUACGACCUACGGGUGAAAGCAGGGGAUCUUCGGACCUUGCGCGAUUGAAUGAGCCGAUGUCGGAUUAGCUAGUUGGCGGGGUAAAGGCCCACCAAGGCGACGAUCCGUAGCUGGUCUGAGAGGAUGAUCGGCCACACGGGAACUGAGACACGGUCCAGACUCCUGCGGGAGGCAGCAGAGGGGAAUGUUGGACAAUGGGCGCAAGCCUGAUCCAGCCAUACCGCGUGGGUGAAGAAGGCGUUCGGGUUGUAAAGCCCUUUUGUUGGGAAAGAAAAGCAGCAGGUUAAUACCCCGCUGUUCUGACGGUACCCAAAGAAUAAGCACCGGCUAACUUCGUG
rnacentral:rRNA from 1 species